CAGGUAGGGGGUAUUCCCUGCUGCCAAGUCUGAUCCCCAAGCUCCAGGCAGGCUGAAGUACCAUUGUAAAAGAUCUGUAGAGCUUGUUGCUCAAAGAAAGGAAUUCUUCAGAUAGUUUAAAUUAAAAUGAACAACUGUUAAAGAGGGAUCAGUUUUACGUGCAGCUGAAGAUCAAUAUCAUAACGGAUUAUGGGUAUUUCCUUACACAAGUUUGUGAAUUAACUUAAGAAUCAGAAGGAAUUCUCUCAAGACCAUUCUAGUAACAUAAGAGAGACACGAAGAGAGGAACAGGGCUUCAAUUAACAAUGAACUGAUCUCAGUGGCUUUGGGACUGAUUAGGACCAAUUGAAACUGUAAAUGAAAUGGCUACACAAAGUAUACAAUACUAUACAUUGACACACUCCAACAGUUGCUAAAAGAUUU